CCUCCCGUAGGCUGCAGUGAGGAAUAUUGGUCAAUGGACGAGAGUCUGAACCAGCCAAGUAGCGUGAAGGAUGACUGCCCUAUGGGUUGUCAACUUCUUUUAUAUGGGAAUAAAACGUUCCACGUGUGGGAUUUUGUAUGUACCAUAUGAAUAAGGAUCGGCUAACUCCGUGCCAGCAGCCGCGGUAAUACGGAGGAUCCGAGCGUUAUCCGGAUUUAUUGGGUUUAAAGGGAGCGUAGGUGGAUUGUUAAGUCAGUUGUGAAAGUUUGCGGCUCAACCGUAAAAUUGCAGUUGAAACUGGCAGUCUUGAGUACAGUAGAGGUGGGCGGAAUUCGUGGUGUAGCGGUGAAAUGCUUAGAUAUCACGAAGAACUCCGAUUGCGAAGGCAGUUCACUGGACUGCAACUGACACUGAGGCUCGAAAGUGUGGGUAUCAAACAGGAUUAGAUACCCCUGUAGUC
rnacentral:rRNA from 1 species